UACGGAGGAUGCAAGCGUUAUCCGGAAUGAUUGGGCGUAAAGGGUCCGCAGGUGGCAAUGUAAGUCUGCUGUCAAAGAAUGAGGCUUAACCUCAUCAAGGCAGUGGAAACUACAUAGCUAGAGUACGGUCGGGGUAGAAGGAAUUCCUGGUGUAGCGGUGAAGUGCGUAGAGAUCAGGAAGAACACCGGUGGCGAAAGCGUUCUGCUAGACCUGUACUGACACUGAGGGACGAAAGCUAGGGGAGCGAAUGGG
rnacentral:rRNA from 1 species